GAAGGGGCUGCAGAGACGGGGGGCCGAAUUGUGCCCCACGCUGCGAAGCAUCGUUGCAUCAGGGUCGUCUGCCGGGGGAAAGAGAGACAAGCAGUGUUUAUGAGCCUUGGAACUGCUGCACACACGUUAAUCCGGCUGACAUCUUUACAACAGCCCCAAG